UCCUUGUUCCGCCAAUAGCCGGGCAGCGGCAGCUGUGUGUGUGUGGGGCAGUGGGGGAGGCGCUGAAAGCUGAUAACUCGCUGGCCUCUUACUGACUCACAUACAGACUGACUGACUGACACAGACUGACUGACUCACAUACAGACAGACUCACAUACAGGUGCAACACACGCAGCUUUACUGGGAGCUGCAAGAGAGGGUGUGUUACUUGUUUUACUGGAGAGAGAGUUGGAUACAUUUAUCCUGUGAGAGAGAUGGACUUGGACUGUUUAUACUGAAGAGAAUAAAUGAUCUAGAAGAAUCUCCUCCUUGGGCCAAUCAGAAGAGCAUCCUGAGCCUGUCUGCAUGUGCCUCGCUAGAAAACAUAAUCCCUUCAAUGAGGAUCCAUGAUGUCUGUAUUUCCUGCUCUUGGGCUGCUCUCUUUCCCAUGAUCAGAUAUGACUUUGGAGAAGCUCCAUUUGAUGAAGGACAUUUUCCUACUCCUGAUGUCAACUGCAAUAGGCCUGAAGAAAGUGAACCUAUAAGGCGUACUGAGAGAAUCAGAAAACUAUCGGCAUGGACCGAAGACUAUAUGAUGUGAAGAAUACUUAAUAUUGCUUUAAGAUGCAUUGUUGUUAUUUAUUACAUUUGUCCAAAUGCUUUCCUACUAUAGGGGGAAUAUGUGGUGUUUAUACAAAUGGCCUGU